rnacentral:hammerhead_ribozyme from 1 species
AUCCAUCUGAUGAGUUCUAAAUAGGACGAAGCGAGCGUCAAACUGGAU